ensembl:lncRNA
AGCUGGUGUUUCCUCCUCUGACUUCUCUAAUCCUUCACUUCCUCUUUCUGUACGAACAAACUCUUUCAACCACGCAGAGUAUUGGUACUAUUAGUAUUCCUAGUAUUAGUAUUAGUCUGUCUGUGUACUUGAACAACUUCUUUAAUAUUACACCAUCAGAGUCCGUGACUGAAACAACUCAACCGGCCCGAUAUGUAAAUGAGUGUUUACGUAAACGUCAGAGGGGGAGGAGCCAGAAAACAAGAAGUCACAGAAACGUCAACUUCUGUCUACGAAGCCCAGAAGACACAGAGUGAGACAGGUUCCAUCAGACAGACAGCUGGAGGGGUCUUCAACGUUUUUCAGGCCAAGGGCCCCCGAACUGAUGGCGAGAUGGAGCAGGGACCCCCGAUUCCUCAGUUUGGUCCACGCUAGACGUGAGCACGAGUGGCUCUGAUUGGCUGUGAUGUCGUAUCGGCGUGAGAGCUGCUGUGGGACUGAAAGACGACGUCUCCUCCAUCAAAAUAUCCGUUUCUACAACAUGUUGGGUUCAUGUUCAUGUGUAUUUAAAGACAAUAAAUACAAGUCUCAUUCUCAAGACUUUUCAAUUUGUG